rnacentral:lncRNA from 1 species
GGCCAUCGUCUGUGGGUGCAUUCGCUGGUACUAGGCCGACGGUGCAGGCUGGUCGUCGGGACAGGAGUUGACAUAGUCCUCUUGCCCGGGACUGGCUACUCCUCGUGCAACUUUGGGUCUGCUCCGACCAUCCCAAGAUGGGAGUUUGUGGUUGGAUGGGGAGGCGUCUUCUCGUUGUGGCAUCGGUGAAGAUCUGUGGCAUUGGUGGAUGGUACUUCGGGUUGUCGGCUGGCGGGUAAGUGCUUGAAACUGCGGACUUGGCGUUGUUAGAGUUGUUUCUCCAUGACGACCGUCGGCAGUCACUCGGUGAUGUCUCCUCCGGUUCAGUGCGACUGGCGGAGUCUGUGGGCGUGGGCGCCCCUACGGUGGUGGCGCUGACCCCGACCCUAUGACUGGUGCCGGGCUUUUCCUGCCGUGGGAUCUGCACUAUGAGGCGAGCGGGUGACGAGGUAUCGGGGCUUGGAUGCUGGGGCAGCAGCCCUGGAAGGCGGCUCGCAUGGUGGGCCCUUUGGCGGACACCAUGGCGGGCGGUUCACAUGGUGGGCCCUUUGGCGGACACCAUGGCGGCGGUGGUGGCUAUGUAUCUUGGCCGUGUGGGUGGUGAGGGCUAUGACGAAAGGUGACUCGGGCGUUCUUUGCCUCUAGCGGUGGUGGCGCCCUGAUCCGGACCUGGGAGUUGAUCUCAUCACUCUUUCCCUGAAGACCUCGGUGGCACGGGUGAGUUAUCGAGCGAAAGCUCUGCGCUUGGUCGCCAACAACGACGACGCAUGCGGGCGAUGUUCUCUUCUUGAAGACGUUAUUAUGGGGACUCUCUCUGUGUCAGACUCCGGGUGAAAACCUUUGUCCGUCAUGGACUCGACAUCGGCGUCGCUUCGCGUCGUUAUCUCUCUUGAGGACGGUGUUGUGGAAUGUAGGGGGGGUAGGGUGUAGUGUGGUUGAGUUUUCGGUUUUCCCUGUACUCCUUUUCGACCGCGUCGCGUGUUCGUGGCUUGGCCAUCUUGGGAUGGGCGUUGUGUGAGGGUUACCCACCAUUUUGUAUCGUUCGGCCAUGUACUCUGAUGUGUGUUCGCUUUAUUUAUAAAGCGGGACAAAAGCCUAUUUU